rnacentral:rRNA from 1 species
UAGGGAAUCUUCCGCAAUGGACGAAAGUCUGACGGAGCAACGCCGCGUGAGUGACGAAGGUUUUCGGAUCGUAAAACUCUGUUGUGAGGGAAGAACACGUGCCAACUAACUACUGGCAUUUUGACGGUACCUCACCAGAAAGCCACGGCUAACUACGUGCCAGCAGCCGCGGUAAUACGUAGGUGGCAAGCGUUGUCCGGAAUUAUUGGGCGUAAAGCGCGCGCAGGCGGUCCUUUAAGUCUGAUGUGAAAGCCCACGGCUCAACCGUGGAGGGUCAUUGGAAACUGGAGGACUUGAGUGCAGAAGAGGAAAGUGGAAUUCCAUGUGUAGCGGUGAAAUGCGUAGAGAUGUGGAGGAACACCAGUGGCGAAGGCGACUUUCUGGUCUGUAACUGACGCUGAGGCGCGAAAGCGUGGGGAGCAAACAGG